rnacentral:piRNA from 1 species
UGGUUUCCUUUAUAGGAUUCAUCAAGGACU